rnacentral:rRNA from 1 species
CUCGGCUGCGACCCCAGGUCAGGCGGGAUUACCCG